UCGGCGGCGAACAGCCAGUCUCCCAGGUUUCCAGGCGAUCCCUCCUGUAGUCCUGUCUGUCGCCGCCGUUCCGUUCCCCACCGUCGAUUCGCCUCCGCUCCUGUUCGCCCGCCGACGCGUCUGUCUUCCUCGCUCUGCUCGCCGCUGCGCCCCCCACCCCCCACCCCCCACCCACACCUUGACUCUAGGGAACGCCACAAUCAAACUCCGACUGCCCACCACAUCAUCGCCGGUAAAUUCACAUCCCUCGAUCCUCCGGCAGCGUGCGCACUUUUUUUUUUUGGGUCUCAGCACUGGUCACCGCUCGCAAUCUCCCAGCCUGGUCCAAUUCGCUUGGAUUCCUUUUCUAUUUUUGAAUUCACCCUGCGCCCUCUGCCCUUGUGGACAAGCGCCCGGCGUACUUCUCACGCAGCGAGCGCAGCUGCGCAGGGAGUCAAGGAGGAACCCUAGACGGCCCGGGACGCCCAGCACCACAUCGCCGGCGACGAGCUCCAUGGGCUUCGCGCGCGUGGAGCUGCGGUGCCCCAGGGCCCUCGACCCGCGCCCGAGCUGGACGCUCGGCGACGUCCUCGCGGAGCUCGACGCGCUGGACGCCACCCGCCGGGCUGCGCAGCCCACACCCCUGAAGCAGCCGCCGGAUUGGGCUAGCGAUGGCAGUGCGAGACAGAAGGCCUUUGUGAUGCGGGUUGAUGAUGAAGACGAUUCAGAUGAUGAACACGAUAUUAGUGAUGGGGAGUCCCAUGCUCUUGUGGCCAAAGGGGCAAGGUUCUCGUGCAAUGACCUUGAAUCCAGUGAUUCAGACGAUGAAUCAGGUGGCCAGGUUGCACCGUACCUCUUAAUGGAGAAAAUGAACCUAGAGAAGAGCAUUCUUCUUGAGCUGGAACGCGAGCAUCAUCUCAAAGUUCAAGAAGAAGUCAGAAGUAAGCUAUCUGCAUUGGAGGCAUGCCACCAAAAUGAAAUCCAGAGAACAAUUUCUGCGUUUGCUCGACUUCAGAAAUAUGCAGAAUCAAGGAAAGAAAUAGAUAGAAGACUAGAUGUACACUUCCAGAGAAGAAUUGCAGAAGUACUCGACAGACACUUGUCUAUGGUCCAAAGGGAUCAUGAACAGAAAUCCCAGAUUGUAGAACGUCGAAUAAGAGAUGAUGCAGCUCUUGAAGAAGCUAAAAGAAAAGAGCAAGCUAUCAAGGAAGAAAAGUUAAGGCAGGAAAGAGCCCGGCAAGAUUCAGAGGCUAGGCAGAAGGAAGCUGCAAAAUUAGCAGCUGAAGCACGGAAAGCAGCAUUUGAGGCUGCUCAAAAGGAAGCUGCGGAAAAGGAAGCUGCAGAAAAGGAGGCUGCCAAAUUGAGGGAAGCAGCAGCUUCCCAAUCUAGUGAAAAUUCUCAGAAUAAUAUUGCAGGUAUCAAAGUUUUUGCCGAUAAAUAUGCAUUAGAAGCGGAAUCACGGAGGUGUGCAUUGGUACACAAUCAAGUGCCAGAAAACAUUCAUCUCAACAAGGAAUUCAGCAAAUAUGACCGACAAAUUGCCAAAUCCAUAGGUAAACUUAUGCCAACCACUGACAGUGUCAGAGCAAGGGCUAGUGAGCUUAUUAAAGCUUUAGAUGGACGAGAUUGUCCCCGUCCGAUCGCAUGCUCUCUAUUUGCAAACAAGAUUAUUUCAAUUGUCAAGAGUAGAAAUACAAAGGACAAAACCUUUGGAAACCUGGCCUUUGCAUGUGGAUAUGUCAUGCUAUUAGUCACAAACCAGGUACCAGAUGCAAUGGAGUAUCUUCUAGCUGAGUUCAACAGAGUUUGCCUAUACACAGUUCCAAAGCAUCUGCAUGCUUUGAAUGCACAAGCACGUAAUAGAGAUUACUAUAGAUUGAUAGGUUACCAAGAAGAAAAUGGACAGCUUGAGAGCACUGAAAGUUAUUUAACAUACAUUGUUGCAUACAUCAAAAUGUAUGCGGCAAUGAUUCAGAAACAUGACUGCCCGACUUCAUUUACAGACUGAAAUCAAAGGUGUACGUCAUCCGCACGGCUUAGCCGAGGGAUGGAAGUGGCUUGCGAUGUUCCUCAAUGCUCUCCCAGCUACCACAGCCACUGCGUGUGCCCUUCAUGCUUUCCUCAAGAUGGCCGGUUUUGCACUUCACAAAAAAUAUGGAUCACAAUUCCUGAAAAUCCUGGAUGUGAUAUCGCGGUGCUUUUUACCAGCUCUGAAAGAUCAAGGCAACAAAAUGCAGUCCGAGGCUGUCAACAAUCUACAGAAUUAUCUGAAUGACAAAAUCUACCUCCAGGAACCAGAAGGGCAGUACCUUGUUCAGCAACUACUGUCCAAAGAGUUGUUCAUGUGAAGAUUAAAACACCAGAUCGGCAUGGGGCUGUAGAGUACGUACAUCAUCAGGCACGGUCAUUGCGUGUGAUUAGCUCCAGUUGACAGUUGAGCCUCCAAAGGCAAUUGGGCUUUGCAGAUUAACUGUCGAUGAAUAUCAGCAUCAGAUCGUCCCAACAAUUUUUAGUUAUUUAUUAGAUAUAAUCCCCUCAUGUAUCCGGCCAAAGACGUAUAUAGCAUAAGUUGAGGUUUCACUGUUUGUUGUAUUAUGUCUGUACCCUGUAUCUGUAUCGAGGCCUGUUCUUGUAUUGAGGGCAAUUUCGCCUUCAGUUUCAGAAGAAUUCUGUACUGGACACUGGAUCCGUGUGGACAUAUGUGUUAGUUGUCUUCUAGAGUAUGCUU